AUCAUUUGCUUUUUGUGCGCUUGUUUCUGUAUGGAGGACAUCGCUGAAGCGGCAAAUUUGAAGAUGGAGAAAUGCGCUUUCCAACGAGACCAAGAUGGCGGCGCUCGUUCGCGCCGUUCCGGAGCAACCACCAAUUACACAUAGACUAAAUGUUGCCAAAAAGUGCAAGGGGUGUAGCCGUUGCCCACGCACACAUGCACAGAGGAGGACGCCAUUUUUAAAUUGCAGUUGCCAGCAUCAAAACGCUUCUUCACCAAAAUGAAAGUGGGUCGGGAACAUGUUGGGUGGUCGACUUCGCAGUUCACACAGUGGGAUGUGCCAGUGUUAUUGGAGGGGUGACCUUUAUCACCACAUUUUGUGCAGCAUGGCCAGAAACUGAGUGAAGACACAGCCGACAGCAUCGAAAUUGGAUGCGAAACUUUCUGCUGCUGGUGGACAUUUUGCUUGUCGCCCAGAAAUCUGUGCUGCGGCCUGCCAUUAAUGCGUAACUGCAUAAAACGGCAACUAGUAUGCCUGCCUCAAUCUGAAUUUGCUCUUGCUACUUGCUCUCCUUUGUGACAGCAAAAAAUAAAUGCUAAAAUCAGUCUUUGAUUUGUCUCAUAUCAUACCGAGUAUCCACACUCGCACUACGCAUCCCAGAUGGCACACGUGCGGCAGUUUCAGAGGUUGUGUACUC